GAUGAACGCUGGCGGCGUGCCUAAUACAUGCAAGUCGAGCGAACAGACGAGGAGCUUGCUCCUCUGACGUUAGCGGCGGACGGGUGAGUAACACGUGGAUAACCUACCUAUAAGACUGGGAUAACUUCGGGAAACCGGAGCUAAUACCGGAUAAUAUAUUGAACCGCAUUGUUCAAUAGUGAAAGACGGUUUUGCUGUCACUUAUAGAUUGAUCCGCGCCGCAUUAGCUAGUUGGUAAGGUAACGGCUUACCAAGGCGACGAUGCGUAGCCGACCUGAGAGGGUGAUCGGCCACACUGGAACUGAGACACGGUCCAGACUCCUACGGGAGGCAGCAGUAGGGAAUCUUCCGCAAUGGGCGAAAGCCUGACGGAGCAACGCCGCGUGAGUGAUGAAGGUCUUCGGAUCGUAAAACUCUGUUAUUAGGGAAGAACAAAUGUGUAAGUAACUAUGCACGUCUUGACGGUACCUAAUCAGAAAGCCACGGCUAACUACGUG
rnacentral:rRNA from 1 species